GGGCCUGUAGCUCAGGGGUAGAGCGCUCGCUUUGCAUAACAUGUGAAAUUGCGAGAAGUCUAGGGUUCAAAUCCCUACUGGUCCA
rnacentral:tRNA from 1 species